rnacentral:lncRNA from 1 species
GUAGCUAAUUCUAAUAUUGAUAACUUUUGAAAAAAAAAAAACUCUGUUGUUGGUUCUACAGAGAACGAUUAGGUUAGGUUACCUAAGACGUGUCCCACCUUUUUAGGUGAGACAAAAAAUUGCAACUUUUUUUUUCAUUGAUAUCAUCUCGGUCUGAAUGAUAGUGUGUAAAAGUAAAACACAGUAGAACAUGUUAUGUGAUGUGUAAGAAAAGACAAAAGGGGGAUUAAUUUACCUGAGCUGGGUGAAGGUGCUUCACGAGAGAAUUCUGCAGGGCGACUAACAGGAUCAUGCAACUCACUCCUGGAAGAAGAAGACNACAUUUCGUAUAUACUAUUUACUAAAUAGCAAGUGGUUGACAGAGAUUACCAAAGAAGUUAUCUCUUCCAACAGUAAAAAGCACUUUAGUAGCUAAUUCUAAUAUUGAUAACUUUUGAAAAAAAAAAAACUCUGUUGUUGGUUCUACAGAGAACGAUUAGGUUAGGUUACCUAAGACGUGUCCCACCUUUUUAGGUGAGACAAAAAAUUGCAACUUUUUUUUUCAUUGAUAUCAUCUCGGUCUGAAUGAUAGUGUGUAAAAGUAAAACACAGUAGAACAUGUUAUGUGAUGUGUAAGAAAAGACAAAAG